UCGGGGAAAAGCAGACCCCCGGCGUAUUCGGAGCAUCUGAUGUUCCGACCAAGACGGUGUCCCGUCCAAGCCCUGC
rnacentral:ncRNA from 1 species